rnacentral:rRNA from 1 species
CCUACGGGAGACAGCAGUAGGGAAUAUUGCUCAAUGGUGGAAACCCUGAAGCAGCAACGCCGCGUGAAGGAUGAAGGUUUUCGGAUUGUAAACUCCUUUUGUUAGAGAAGAUAAUGACGGUAUCUAACGAAUAAGCACCGGCGAACUCCGUGCCAGCAGCCGCGGUAAUACGGAGGGUGCAAGCGUUACUCGGAAUCACUGGGCGUAAAGAGCGCGUAGGCGGGAUAGCAAGUCAGAUGUGAAAACCUAUGGCUGAACCAUAGAACUGCAUUUGAAACUGGUAGUCUAGAGUAUGGGAGAGGUAGGUGGAAUGCGUGGUGUAGGGGUAAAAUGCGUAGAGAUCAAGAGGAAUACUCAUUGCGAAGGCGACCUGCUAGAACAUAACUGACGCUGAUGCGCGAAAGCGUGGGGAGCAAACAGGAUUAGAUACCCCUGUAGUC